ACCUCUCUGUGACCCUAAACCUGCCCUGUGACCCCAAACCGCUGUGUGACCCCAAACCCGCUGUGUGACCCCAAACCGCUGUGUGACCCCAAACCUCUGUGUGACCCCAAACCCGCCCUGUGACCCCAAACCCGCCCUGUGACCCCAAACCUGCUGUGGGGCAGCCCCAAAUCUGCUGUGUGACCCCAAACCCACUGUGUGACCCCAAACCUCUGUGUGACCCCAAACCGCUGUGGGGCAGCCCCAAAUCUGCUGUGUGACCCUAAACCCUCCCUGUGACCCCAAACCUCUGUGUGACCCCAAACCCGCUGUGUGACCCUAAACCGCUGUGGGGCAGCCCCAAACCCACUGUGGGGCAGCCCCAAACCACUCUGUGACCCCAAACCGCUGUGGGGCAGCCCCAAACCCACUGUGGGGCAGCCCCAAACCACUCUGUGACCCCAAACCGCUGUGGGGCAGCCCCAAACCUCGCUAUGGGGCAGCCCCCCACCCACUCCAGCUAUGCACCCCCUCUAUGGGGCAGCCCCCAUCCCAUCUAUGCACCUCCUAUGGGGCAGCCCCCUAACUCUGCUAUGGGGCAGCCCCCGACCCUGCUAUGGGGCAGCCCCCCUUUAGAUACGCACAGUCCAUAGGGCAACCCCCAAGCUCUCUAUGGGGCAGCCCCCCACCCACUCCAUCUAUGCAUAAUCUGUGGGGCAGCCCCCCAUUGCUAGAUACACACAGCCUAUAGGGCAGCCCCCAACCCCUCUAUGGGGCAGCCCCCUCCCAGAUACGCACAAUCCAUAGGGCAGCCCCUCGCCCAGUCCAGCUCUGGGGCAGCCCCCAGCUCCAGCUAUGCACCCCCAGGGGGACAGCCCCCACCCCUCUGUGGGGCAGCCCCAGAUCCCAGCUAUGCACCUCCUAUGGGGCAGCCCCUUAACCCUGCUAUGGGGCAGCCCCCGACCCUCCUAUGGGGCAGCCCCCUAACUCUAGACAUGCACAGACCUUAGGGCAGCUCCUGACCCUGCUAUGGGGCAGCCCCCACCCCUCCUAUGGGGCAGCCCCCACCCCUGCUAUGGGGCAGCCCCCACCCCUGCUAUGGGGAAGCCCCACCCCUUCUAUGGGGCAGCCCCCCCAGAUGCGCACAGCCCGUGGGGCAGCCCCCCCCCAGCUCAGCCCCUCCAUGGGGGGCCCGGCUCCCCCCUUUGGGGGUCUCCCCCCAGUUCCCCCCCAGCCUCCAAUAAAGCUUCCUGCGCCCCCCAACUCCUGUCUGGUGUCUUGGGAAGGACUGGGAGCCCCAGGGACCCCC
rnacentral:lncRNA from 1 species